rnacentral:rRNA from 1 species
CAACAGGGAUUGCUCUAGUAACGGCGAGUGAAGCAGCAAUAGCUCAAAUUUGAAAUCUGGCGUCUUCGACGUCCGAGUUGUAAUUUGUAGAGGAUGCUUCUGAGUGGCCACCGACCUAAGUUCCUUGGAACAGGACGUCAUAGAGGGUGAGAAUCCCGUAUGCGGUCGGAAAGGCGCUCUAUACGUAGCUCCUUCGACGAGUCGAGUUGUUUGGGAAUGCAGCUCUAAAUGGGAGGUAAAUUUCUUCUAAAGCUAAAUAUUGGCCAGAGACCGAUAGCGCACAAGUAGAGUGAUCGAAAGAUGAAAAGCACUUUGGAAAGAGAGUUAAAAAGCACGUGAAAUUGUUAAAAGGGAAGGGAUUGCAACCAGACUUGCUCGCGGUGUUCCGCCGGUCUUCUGACCGGUCUACUCGCCGCGUUGCAGGCCAGCAUCGUCUGGUGCCGCUGGAUAAGACUUGAGGAAUGUAGCUCCCUCGGGAGUGUUAUAGCCUCUUGUGAUGCAGCGAGCGCCGGGCGAGGUCCGCGCUUCGGCUAGGAUGCUGGCGUAAUGGUCGUAAUCCGCCCGUCUUGAAACACGGACCAAGGAGUCUAACAUCUAUGCGAGUGUUCGGGUGUCAAACCCCUACGCGUAAUGAAAGUGAACGGAGGUGAGAACCGCAAGGUGCAUCAUCGACCGAUCCUGAUGUCUUCGGAUGGAUUUGAGUAAGAGCAUAGCUGUUGGGACCCGAAAGAUGGUGAACUAUGCCUGAAUAGGGUGAAGCCAGAGGAAACUCUGGUGGAGGCUCGCAGCGGUUCUGACGUGCAAAUCGAUCGUCAAAUUUGGGUAUAGGGGCGAAAGACUAAUCGAACCAUCUAGUAGCUGGUCC